UUAAAACGAUACUUCCAUAACAUCCAAAUGGAAAUAAAGAUGUAGCCAAAUCCACAAAACUAAGGUCAACAAUGGCGGACCAGUUGCAUUGUACUGUAUAGAAACCAAUGAUUCUCGUUUGGAAAAAGACAAGGCACCCACAUCCUUUGACGAAACAGCACCACAUGCCUAGUUGACGGAGAGACUUGAGGUCAUCGACUUCGGCUAAAGGAUUGAAACACGAGUAUAAAUAGGAUGCAGGAGUCGAAGGAGAUGUCAUACUACAUUUGUUCAGUCAGUUGUGAGUGGGCUUGAAGAUGGUGAGAAAGGAGAAAUUGGUGAUUGCUGUUGCUUGGCUCCUGGUAAUGGCAUCCAUUAUCAUGUCAGCAAAUGCAACGGUAGGUGUUCGUCUGCAAUUAAUUGAGCGAGUGGUUCAACCCCAAGCUGGUUGUCGCUGCUGCUGGUUCAUUUGGAAGCCAUUAAUCCGCUGUGGAAAAGUAUGCUGUGAAGACGGAUGUUGCACUUGAUGCAUCCCAAACUUUCUUAAAACUCACCAGAUAAACAGAAAAAAGGAAAUGAAUAAUUAAUUGUAUGUUGGAGCAUCAUUCUGUAAGCAGCAGAAGCUUCUAAUGGUUUGAUUUCCCGAAUGCGGUUCUCUUUGGUUUCUGUGUUCAACAACUAAACUUUGCUUUGAUGGAUGUUCUAGGCAGAAAGAUGUAUCCAGGUUAAUUGAAAUAUUUUAAAGAGCAGUGCUACA